CCAAAGAGCCGCUGAACCUCACCCUGCCGGCUGUCAAUCACUCCGCCCACUUCCUUUUGUCUGCCAUAGGCCACGCCCACCAACGGGACUACACGUGUGUUUAUCACGUAGAUGUUUAUAACCACAGCUUCUCAUCGUCUCAGAGCCCCACCCUCUAUCUCACUGUUGGAGACUCGGGGACACCUCUGACCGUCAGGGUGGUGCUCAUCGUCCUGGCUCUGCUCAUAAUUGUUCUUUGCCUCUUCUUCUUCUUCUUCUUCUACUAUAAGGUCUAUGUGAGGCGGAGCUAAAGGAAGGCGGAGUCAAACACAGUCACAGUUCAGGAAGAAACAUCCCAUUAAUAGAGUUCCAGUUGUUCAAGAGGAGUUGUGUUAUUGUUUAGAGUUAUUGUUUAGUGUUGUUGUUUGUUGUGCUAUUGUGUUGUUGUUGUGUGCGUAGUUGGGUUUCUUUCAGAGGACUCAACCUCCCACUGAAGAUGAGGAGGAGGAUGAACAGCAGAGGAGGAGGGUCACAUGACCCAAUAACAAACACACACACACACACACACACACACACACACCAGAGCAGUAGAGAAAACACAGUUACGACACUUAGACUCCUGUUGUAAAAAAUGUCAGACUAAAUACGGACGUCCUUCCUGGUUCUGGAGGCGGGGCCAAUAAUUCCAAACAUUGACUGUACCACCGUCUGAACACGUUCAUUUGUAUUUGUGCUGAUCUACCAACUCCAGCUCUAAGGUGAUCAGAUAUGGUCAUCUUUCCACUGG